rnacentral:rRNA from 1 species
UACGGGGGGGGGUAAGCGUUGUUCGGAAUUACUGGGCGUAAAGGGCUCGUAGGCGGCCAACUAAGUCAGACGUGAAAUCCCUCAGCUUAACUGGGGAACUGCGUCUGAUACUGGAUGGCUUGGAUUCGGGAAAGGAAUGCGGAAUUCCAGGUGUAGCGGUGAAAUGCGUAGAUAUCUGGAGGAACACCGGUGGCGAAGGCGGCAUCCUGGACCGAUACUGACGCUGAGGCUCGAAAGCGUGGGGAGCAAACAGGG